UAUCUAAUGUAGAACCUUUCUAUUGUAUCUAAUGUAGAACCUGUUGGAUCUAAUGUAGAACCUGUUGUUUCUAAUGUAGAACCUGUUAAAUCGAAUGUAGAACCUGCUGUAUCUAAUAUAGAACCUGUUGGAUCUAAUGUAGAACCUGUUGGAUCUAAUGUAGAACCUGUUGAUCUAAUAUAGAACCUGAUGGAUCUAAUGUAGAACCUGCUGUAUCUAAUGUAGAACCUGUUGUAUCUAAUGAAGACCCUUCCUGUUGUAUUUCAUGUAGAACCUAUGGUAAUGGAUCUAAUGUAGACCCUUUCUGUUGUAGAACCUGGCGAUGUUCCUGAGCAUGCUGGUGGCCUGGUUGAUCCCUGACGUUCCCCGUUCUCUUAGAGAACAGGUCAGGAAAGAGAACAUGUUGCUGAUGGAGUUCCUUGUUCAGGAUGAACAGGAGGCCGUACGCUCCAGACUUCCACAUCACUCCCCCACAGAACAACCUGCACAAACACAUAACACACACUCACAUAUUGACAUCGUGGUGGAGGGGUCAGUGGGAGAAGAGGGGGCAGAGGAGGAGAAGGUGGACAGAUCAGGACAAACCCUGGACAACCCAGAUAGCACUGACCCAGCAGAAGGAGGAGAAGAAGGAGGGGGAAAAGAUGGGAGAGGAGAAGAGGGGAAAGAAGAAGAGUCAGAAGAUCAGAGCGAAGGAGUGGGAGAAGGAGGAGAAGGAGACAGAGGAGGAGAAGGGCCAGACCAGGAGGAAGUCUCCAUUGUGGAUCUGGACUCUGUUAUGGACCAGCUGUAUCUGUCAGACCCAGAGCCGUCCCAGAGCCAGAGCCUAGCUGACAUGGAGCUGCCUGUCUCUGGAGCAGCCCCACUGGAGCAGGAGGACGAGCCACCAGGCCCAGACAGCCCUCCAGCUGCCCCAGAAGAGGACACAGCCUCCCCCGAGACUCCACUGGCCAAGACCCACCCAGCAGGCCUGAAGGCUGCAGACAGCAGGCUGUUCUCCAGAGGCCCUCCCCUCAUAGAUUCAGCAUACUCCAGGACCAAGGGCCGCUGCUCCACCCUGCCUCCCAAACAGAGAGGGCCUGAGCCAGGGCACAGCCGGCCCCGACCCAGCCACUCAACCAGCCUCACAAAGUUCCACCUUCCAGCUCUACCUCCUCUGGUCCCCUCACCUUCCCCUACAAACACCCCUCAGUCAGCCCCUCCCAAGCCCCUCCCACCCCCUCCCAAGCCCCUGUCUCACAAUGAACUGUUAAUGCUGAAGGGGCCUCCCAGAAGAGAACCAGGAGGCUCCAGGGCUAAGGGGCGCUGCUCCACUCUGCCUGCCCGCCAGCGAGGUCCCGAGGCUGAGGAGAGCUCCUCCAGACCCAGCCACUCUUCCAGCUUCACCCGGCAGGAAGACCGUAUCCCCCCAUCCCCCAGUGAACUAAAACAAGACACCCCGGUGUGAGGAGAGGGGAAAUAGAGGGGGAGGAUUAGAGAGGGACAGCCGAGUCUCAUCAUCAGAGAAAUUGAUCUGUCCAUCUCUCCGUCUUCAUCCACCCAUCUCAUAUGAUAGCUCAGAUGCAACAUUGACUUGGUUGUAGGAACCAAAUGGACCUGUUCUUCUUCUAGCGCAUCAGUUAAUAGCUCAGGUCGAUUCACUGGGUUUAUAAAGGAGAAUGAAGUGGAAUAAAUCAGGAUAAAAGAGAGUAGAGGAGAAUAAAGGAUAAUAAAAUGUAUUAAAGGAUAAUAAUGGAAAAUAUACCAAGAUAAAUAAGAAUAAAGGAGAAUAAAGGAGAAUAAACCAGGAUAAAUGAGAAUGAAGGAGAUUAUAAACUGGGUGGUUCGAGCCCUGAAUGCUGAUUGGCUGACAGCCGUGGUAUAUCAGACCGUAUACCAAGGGUAUGACAAAACAUAUAUUUUUACUGCUCUAAUUACGUUGGUAACCAGUUUAUAAUACUAAUAAGGCACCUCGGGGGUUUGUGGUAAGUGGCCAAUAUAGGAAAAUAAACCACGACAAAAAAGAAUAAAGGAUAAUAAAACAAGAUAAAGAUGAAUAAAAGAGUAAUCCAGGAUAAAGGAGAAUAUACCAGGACAAAGUAGAAUAAAGGAGGAUAAAUGAGAAUAAAGGGUAAUAAAGGAGAAUAAACCAGGAUAAAGGAGAAUAAAAGAGAAUAAACCAGGAUAAAGAUGAAUAAAAGAGUAAUCCAGGAUAAAGGAGAAUAUACCAGGACAAAGGAGAAUAAAGGAGGAUAAAUGAGAAUAAAGGGUAAUAAAGGAGAAUAAACCAGGAUAAAGGAGAAUAAAAGAGAAUAAACCAGGAUAAAGGAGAAUAAAAGAGUAAUCCAGGAUAAAGGAGAAUAUACCAGGACAAAGGAGAAUAAAGGAGGAUAAAUGAGAAUAAAGGGUAAUAAAGGAGAAUAAACCAGGAUAAAGGAGAAUAAAGGAGAAUAAACCAGGAUAAAGCAGAAUAAACCAGAACAAAGAAGAAUAGAGGAGUAUAAACCAGGAUAAAUGACAAUAAAAGAGAAUAAAGUACAUUAAAUGAGAAUAAAGGAGACUAAACCAGGAUAAAGGAGAUUAAAGUAUAAUAAAGUAUAAUAAAAGAGAAUAACCUAGGACAAUGGACAAAUGAGAAUAAAGGAGAAUAAACCAGAACAAAUGAGAAUAAAUGAGAAUAAAGGAGAAUAAACCAGAAUAAAUGAGAAUAAAGGAGAAUAGGUUUUGGUGAUUCUGAGACAAUAGUUCGUUAUCAAUAAAAUGUCACAAUAUAAUUCGAUUUUGCUGCUGGGGGACAAGGAGAACCGCAGCUCCGCUAAAAUCAUUGACAACUAUAUGCUGUUUUCAACGGAUUGUUAAAUAAAUGUUAACUAUUUGGUUGUAAUAUCAUCAUGUCUUGAAGAGCGAAAUCAGAACUACACAUUUCUGAUUUCCCCAUUUAGCUCCAUCAGAGUUUUACAGCAAUCAGUAAACAUCAAUUGAUCAUGUUUUUUCAGAUAUGUGAAGGUAUCCAGAUUCAUUUGGUAUGUAGCUAGUUAGCUAAAGCAAACAACGUGUGUAAUUUAGCCUGUUUCAUCAGAGACUAGGGUUUUGGAAAGAGUUUUCCAUUGUCAGUCGGACUACUGUCAUCACCACUAUAGAUGGCAAGCAAAUCAAACAAUAUUUGGAUAUAGCCAUCUAGUUUGUCCCCUGAAAGUUAGCUUGUUAACUAGCCGUAUUGCCGUGAUCUGUUGUUAGCUAGCUAGCCAAUUUGACGUGGUCCAUCAAUAUCAUGUCUGUCAGCAGCAAUUGGGAUUAAACACUCUUAAAAACAAUGUUGAAAAGGGGAUAAUGUUAGCUAACUUUGCUAGGUAGGCCUAUGUUGGUUGGAGAAAAAAGUACACUAUGUCUACUUACCACCAUGUUUAGCCAACUGUACCAAGUUUCUACCGGUAGCUUGCAUAGUAAACAUUAUCAGCUAACAGUAACGUUACAAUGGCAUAUGCGCCAUUCUGCUGCUUUGACAGCCAGACCCCAGAAAGGAUGGGAAAUUAACCUAAACCACUCAUACUGGUCAGGCAUAGUUAUUUUAUAUCACUCAAAUAUCCAAUUAAUGGUGGUCAAUAUUGAGAGAUAUCGUGAGGCUACCCUGACGUAGUUAAAAAUACAUGAUCAAUUGAUGUUUAAUGAUCAUUAAAAACAUGCAGUUACUUGCUGUAUAACUCUGAUGAUAGAGCUAAAUGUGCUAAAUUGUUUUGCAUGGAAUAGUCUAAAAUGUGUAGUUCUGACUAUGCUCUUCAAGAUGAGAUAUUACAACCAAAUAGUUAACAUUCCCUUAACAAUCCCUUGCAAACGGCACACAGUUGUCAAUGGUUUUAGUGGAGCUGCGGGUCUCCUUGCCCCUCAGCAGGCAAAUCGAACGCGCUGCACCUUUAUUGAGACGUUUUGUUGAUAACGACCUAUAAGGCCUCAGACUGAGAAUGUCCCAGUGUUCUAACUCUCUCAGCCAGUGAGAAGACACAGCUGCUGCUCACACUGUAUUGUUACUGCCAGACGGAACUGGACCAACCCGGGCUGAACUGGACCAGACCAAACAAGACCACACCAGACAGAGCCAGCUCCCCUCCCCCAGUAGACACAGGGCCAAUCUGAAAUGGCACCCUACUCCCUAUCAGGCUCUGGCCAAAAUAACUACACUAUAUAGGGGAAUAGGGUGCCAUUUACUCCCAGUAGACCCUCUAUGAAGUAUUUAGGUAAACAGUAAUAACAGAGCUAUGCUUGUAGAUUUAUUAUAUUACAACUGUGACAUUUUGAUAAUAUGAAAAUCA
rnacentral:lncRNA from 1 species